ACCAGAGUCUCGGAUGGCAACCUCACAGUGCCAUCGAGAGCGUGUUAUGUAAAUUCAGUAACCCUCCUAAUGGCGUAAAUGAAUGCGCCACUAGCGAAAGAGAAAAGCCAAAGGGCGUAGUCAUAGGGUAUGACGGAUGAGAAGUCCAAUCUUCAUGUUGGCUUGCUACCGUAGCAUUCCAUCGUGAAUUUAACGAGUGGUUACAUCAACC
rnacentral:ncRNA from 1 species